CUUUCAGGUAGCAACCGCUAUAGUCGUGAUGGGCUGGAGGGCAUUAUCAUUUCUUUUGUUGGAAAAGAGGGCUCUGUGAUGUUCUUGGUCAGGUGAGCGAAGCGCAAAUAGGCUGCGCGCUUUAUUUGGGGGAGUGAGAAAUUAAGGGGGUGGUAGAGCAUCUUUUAAAUGUUUGCCUUUGAUGAUUGAGGCGGAUUUUCUGAUAAGCAACAGUUAUGUUAGCUAUGUAUUUAAAAUGUUGAAAGAUCAUGAGGAUGUUCUCUUUGAACCUUAA